rnacentral:misc_RNA from 1 species
UCCGGCUUAUCACCGGCAGUUUCCUCAGAGUUCUCAGCAUUACCUGUUAGCAACAGAGGACGAGGGUUGCGCUCGUUGCGGGACUUAACCCAACAUCUCACGACACGAGCUGACGACAGCCAUGCAGCACCUGUGCAUCUCCCACCCGAAGUGAAGGACCUAAUUUCUUAAGUCCACAGAGAGCAUGUCAAAGCCUGGUAAGGUUCUUCGCGUUGCCUCGAAUUAAACCACAUGUUCCACCGCUUGUGCGGGUCCCCGUCAAUUCCUUUGAGUUUUAAUCUUGCGACCGUACUCCCCAGGCGGGGUGCUUAACGCGUUAGCUACGCCACUGAGAGGUAACCCCCCAACGGCUAGCACCCAUCGUUUACAGCGUGGACUAC